UGAGGAAUAUUGGGCAAUGCCCGCAAGGGUGACCCAGCAACGCCGCGUGGAGGAUGAAUGUCGUAAGAUUGUAAACUCCUGUUAGAGGGGAAGAAUAGUACCGGUUGGACCGGUAUAUGACGGUACCCUCAGAGAAAGCCCCGGCUAACUACGUGCCAGAAGCCGCGGUAAUACGUAGGGGGCAAGCGUUGUCCGGAUUUACUGGCUGUGAAGGGCGCGCAUGCGGGAUAAAAAGUCAGUGGUGAAAUCCUACAGCUUAACUGUAGAAUUGCCUUUGAUACUGCUCAUCUUGAGUGUGGGAGAGGUUGAUGGAAUUCCAGGUGUAGCAGUGAAAUGCGUAGAUAUCUGGAAGAACACCAGUGGCGAAGGCGGUCAACUGACCCAUAACUGACGCUCAUGCACGAAAGCGUGGGGAGCAAACA
rnacentral:rRNA from 1 species